UCUCUAGUAUAACGCAUAGUUGAAAAGAACUUUUAUACGUCUUGACUUUGUAUCUCAGAAGUUGUAUAUCUGACGUAUAGAUUAGACCGUAAAGUAGUCAGUCUGAAAUAUCACCCUAAAAUUCACCUGCAUGACAGUUUCCUUCAGACACUGCCUCCCGUGGGGCUGAACUCGAGAUUCCAGGGAACCUGUCUCGGCACAGAAUGUGCCGGACGCCUUUUGAAAGUACAUUCAGCACACGGUUUACCAGCACAAGGACAUCCGAAGUUUCAGUGCUUGGUGAUCAUACCUCACCUCUUUCCCCAAAUGGCAUUACCAAGCUGUGUCACCGGGCCUGUCGUCGUUGAGGUGGACUCCUCCGGCUGUCAUACUCAGGGUGGUUCCCGAGGGUGAAGAUCUACCUCCAGAAGAGCCGUUGAAUUUAGAACAGAAGGAUGACUGCCUGCACACAGAGUGCGCAGAGCAGCUCCCGGCACGUGAAAGAUCAGGACCUUGAAGUUCAGGACCCCUGAGGUGUCAGGGCUUCAUCUCACCAGCACUUAGUUGAUACUGAGUAAACAGGUUUAUUUCCUCCGCGAGGACCCUCCCUUGUCUGUGCCCCGUGUCAUAGAUAAGUUGCCCUCCCUCCUCUGCCCCCGCCCCGCCCGCCCCACUCAGGCGCCCCCUGUGGCGUGUUUGGACAGGUUCCUCCUGCAGCAGCCAGAGCCUCAU